AACGAACGCUGGCGGCAGGCUUAACACAUGCAAGUCGAACGCCCCGCAAGGGGAGUGGCAGACGGGUGAGUAACGCGUGGGAACAUACCCUUUCCUGCGGAAUAGCUCCGGGAAACUGGAAUUAAUACCGCAUACGCCCUACGGGGGAAAGAUUUAUCGGGGAAGGAUUGGCCCGCGUUGGAUUAGCUAGUUGGUGGGGUAAAGGCCUACCAAGGCGACGAUCCAUAGCUGGUCUGAGAGGAUGAUCAGCCACAUUGGGACUGAGACACGGCCCAAACUCCUACGGGAGGCAGCAGUGGGGAAUAUUGGACAAUGGACGCAACCCUGAUGCAGCCAUGCCGCGUGAGUGAUGAAGGACUUAGGGAUGUAAAGCUCUAUCACCAAUGAAGAUAAUGACGGUAGUCGGCUAAGAAGCACCGGCUAAAUUCGUG
rnacentral:rRNA from 1 species